UCAGAAGUGCGAAUGCUGACAUAAGUAACGAUAAAGCGGGUGAAAAGCCCGCUCGCCGGAAGACCAAGGGUUCCUGUCCAACGUUAAUCGGGGCAGGGUGAGUCGACCCCUAAGGCGAGGCCGAAAGGCGUAGUCGAUGGGAAACAGGUUAAUAUUCCUGUACUUGGUGUUACUGCGAAGGGGGGACGGAGAAGGCUAUGUUGGCCGGGCGACGGUUGUCCCGGUUUAAGCGUGUAGGCUGGUUUUCCAGGCAAAUCCGGAAAAUCAAGGCUGAGGCGUGAUGACGAGGCACUACGGUGCUGAAGCAACAAAUGCCCUGCUUCCAGGAAAAGCCUCUAAGCAUCAGGUAACAUCAAAUCGUACCCCAAACCGACACAGGUGGUCAGGUAGAGAAUACCAAGGCGCUUGAGAGAACUCGGGUGAAGGAACUAGGCAAAAUGGUGCCGUAACUUCGGGAGAAGGCACGCUGAUAUGUAGGUGAAGCGACUUGCUCGUGGAGCUGAAAUCAGUCGAAGAUACCAGCUGGCUGCAACUGUUUAUUAAAAACACAGCACUGUGCA
rnacentral:rRNA from 1 species